rnacentral:misc_RNA from 1 species
GAUGAAGAACGCAGCGAAAUGCGAUACGUAGUGUGAAUUGCAGAAUUCAGUGAAUCAUCGAAUCUUUGAACGCACAUUGCACCUCUCGGUAUUCCGGGAGGUAUGCCUGUUCGAGCGUCAUUUCAACCCUCGAGCCCCCCCGGGGGCCUCGGUGUUGGGGGACGGCACACCAGCCGCCCCCGAAAUGCAGUGGCGACCCCGCCGCAGCCUCCCCUGCGUAGUAGCACACACCUCGCACCGGAGCGCGGAGGCGGUCACGCCGUAAAACGCCCAACUUUCUUAGAGUUGACCUCGGAUCAGGUAGGAAUACCCGCUGAACUUAAGCAUAUCAAUAAGCGGAGGA